AGAGUUUGAUCCUGGCUCAGAGUCAACGUUGGCGGCGUGCGUAACACAUGCAAGUCGAACGAUCCUUGAGUGGCUUGCCAUUCAAGGAGAGUGGCGAACGGGUGAGUAACACGUGAGUAAUCUGCCCUCGAGUGGGGAACAACCUCGCGAAAGCGGGGCUAAUACCGCAUGAUAUUCUGAAGUAUAAGCUUUCAGAAUCAAAGCCUUCGGGCGCUUGAGGAUGAGCUUGCGGCCUAUUAGCUAGUUGGUAGGGUAACGGCCUACCAAGGUAAUGAUGGGUAGCCGGCCUGAGAGGGUGUACGGCCACACUGGGACUGCGACACGGCCCAGACUCCUACGGGAGGCAGCAGUGGGGAAUUUUGCGCAAUGGGCGAAAGCCUGACGCAGCGACGCCGCGUGGAGGAUGAAGGCCUUCGGGUUGUAAACUCCUGUCAGAGGUGAAGAAUGCCCCUUUUGGGGUUUGACGGUAACUUCAGAGGAAGCCCCGGCUAACUACGUGCCAGCAGCCGCGGUAAUAACGUAGGGGGCGAACGUUGCUCGGAAUUACUGGGCGUAAAGGGUGCGCAGGUGGCUGUGCAAGUCA
rnacentral:rRNA from 1 species